UGGUAGCUGAUUACUAAAGGUGAUGG
rnacentral:piRNA from 1 species